rnacentral:rRNA from 1 species
UACGGGGGGGGCUAGCGUUGUUCGGAAUUACUGGGCGUAAAGCGCGCGUAGGCGGACCUGCAAGUCGGGGGUGAAAGCCCGAGGCUCAACCUCGGAACUGCCUUCGAUACUGCGGGUCUCGAGUCCGGGAGAGGUGAGUGGAAUUCCUAGUGUAGAGGUGAAAUUCGUAGAUAUUAGGAAGAACACCAGUGGCGAAGGCGGCUCACUGGCCCGGUACUGACGCUGAGGCGCGAAAGCUAGGGGAGCGAACAGG